rnacentral:lncRNA from 1 species
UACCGUACUGAAGUCAAUGCUGGACGGAUCACGAGGUUUCAUCAGCUUAUCAAUAUUAUAUCUGUAGCCGAGAAACAUGAUAACAUACUCGUGAGGAAUUAUAAUUCAAGGCCCAUUGGAACUAAGAGCGUUCAUGAGGCGAAUUAUAAUGCACCCAAAGGAGGGCGCAAGGAGCGGUACCCUAAGAAUGGGGGACAUGAGGGACGUAUGGGCCCAUAUAACCGCCCUAAUCAGGAAGGAAACCGCAAGUUUGGUGUGGAUACACGUGGUGGUAAUGCCACACGUGGGAGAGGGGGUCGUGGUAUCCCUAGCCGUAAUGGUGGCUUAAUGGGUCGUGGUGGUGGCACCAACCCUCCUAGGGAACGCCCGCAACGUGCAUAACG